UCUACGGGGUGCAGCAGUGAGGAAUAUUGGUCAAUGGCCGGAAGGCUGAACCAGCCAUGCCGCGUGAAGGUCAGUGCCCUAUGGGCGUUAAACUUCUUUUGUGCGGGAGCAAUAAUGGUCACGUGUGGCCAGACGAGAGUACCGUACGAAUAAGCAUCGGCUAACUCCGUGCCAGCAGCCGCGGUAAUACGGGGGAUGCAAGCGUUAUCCGGAUUUAUUGGGUUUAAAGGGUGCGUAGGCUGUGAGGUAAAUCAGCGGUGAAAUGCCCCCGCUCAACGGGGUGAAGUGCCAUUGAUACUGCCGUGCUGGAAUGCGGAUGCCGUGGGAGGAAUGUGUGGUGUAGCGGUGAAAUGCAUAGAUAUCACACAGAACACCGAUUGCGAAGGCAUCUCACGAAUCCGCGAUUGACGCUGAUGCACGAAAGCGUGGGUAUCAAACAGGAUUAGAUACCCUAGUAGUC
rnacentral:rRNA from 1 species